GCGCCUAUUGUCUAGUGGUUAGGAUACCAGCUUCCCAAGCUGGUCGCCCGGGUUCAAUUCCCGGUAGGCGCA
rnacentral:tRNA from 1 species